rnacentral:rRNA from 1 species
UACAGAGAGUGCGAACGUUGUUCGGAAUCACUGGGCAUAAAGCGCACGUAGGCGGCGCCUCAAGUGCGGUGUGAAAGCCCACGGCUUACCCGUGGAACUGCACAGCAGACUGAGGUGCUAGAGGAUGGUAGGGAUGAGCGGAACUCUUGGUGGAGCGGUGAAAUGCGUAGAGAUCAAGAGGAACACCGGUGGCGAAGGCGGCUCAUUGGUCCAUUUCUGACGCUGAGGUGCGAAAGCCAGGGGAGCAAACGGGAUUAGAUACCCCCGUAGUCC